UACGUAGGGGGGCAAGCGUUAUCCGGAUUCACUGGGUGUAAAGGGAGCGUAGACGGUGGUGCAAGCCAGAUGUGAAAAUCCGGGGCUCAACUCCGGACCUGCAUUUGGAACUGCGUCACUGGAGUACCGGGUGGGCAGGCGGAAUUCCUGGUGUAGCGGUGAAAUGCGUAGAUAUCAGGAGGAACACCGGUGGCGAAGGCGGCCUGCUGGACGGUAACUGACGUUGAGGCUCGAAAGCGUGGGGAGCAAA
rnacentral:rRNA from 1 species